AUUGAACGCUGGCGGCAUGCCUUACACAUGCAAGUCGAACGGCAGCAUGGAGAGCUUGCUCUCUGAUGGCGAGUGGCGAACGGGUGAGUAAUGCAUCGGAACGUACCGUGUAGUGGGGGAUAACGUAGCGAAAGUUACGCUAAUACCGCAUACGCACUGAGGUGGAAAGCAGGGGAUCGCAAGACCUUGCGCUAGACGAGCGGCCGAUGUCAGAUUAGCUAGUUGGUAGGGUAAAGGCCUACCAAGGUGACGAUCUGUAGCGGGUCUGAGAGGAUGAUCCGCCACACUGGGACUGAGACACGGCCCAGACUCCUACGGGAGGCAGCAGUGGGGAAUUUUGGACAAUGGGGGCAACCCUGAUCCAGCCAUGCCGCGUGAGUGAAGAAGGCCUUCGGGUUGUAAAGCUCUUUCGGCCGGGAAGAAAUCGCACAGGCUAAUACUCUGUGUGGAUGACGGUACCGGCAUAAGAAGCACCGGCUAACUACGUGCCAGCCGCCCGCAGUAA
rnacentral:rRNA from 1 species